rnacentral:rRNA from 1 species
UACGUAGGGGGCAAGCGUUGUCCGGAAUCAUUGGGCGUAAAGCGCGUGUAGGCGGUCCGGUAAGUCCGCUGUGAAAGUCGGGGGCUCAACCCUCGGAUGCCGGCGGAUACUGUCGGGCUUGAGUACGGAAGAGGCGAGUGGAAUUCCUGGUGUAGCGGUGAAAUGCGCAGAUAUCAGGAGGAACACCAAUUGCGAAGGCAGCUCGCUGGGACGUUACUGACGCUGAGACGCGAAAGCGUGGGGAGCAAACAGG